AGCCUUGUUCUAGAUGGAAAUGGGCUCUAUUAUUCACGGUGUCCAAAAGUUGUUAAUGUGGCCACUCUAAGACAUAGGUUAUGCUUCCAUCACAGCAAGUUUUUUGCAGUGCUGACAAUGAGACACGUAAUAUUU
ensembl:snoRNA